rnacentral:rRNA from 1 species
AUGGAGUCCGCCGGCGGUAGCAUCCCUAGGCCGCAAACGGCGUCCGCGCGCCGGCUGGGGCGCAGCUCCAGCUCUGCUUCUCGCGCUGGCGCUGGCGCGUUCGCCUACGACGGGAUGCGCGCCGCGCCGCUCUUCUCCUCGGCCAACUUCGCGCGCUCCCUCCGCAAGGCGGCCUCCUUCGGCCACAAGAAGAAGCCAAGCGCCGGCGACGCCGACGCGGCCGCGCAACCGCCCCGCCGGGCACUGAGCAGCAAGGACCAGAACACUGUCCACGGCGCGGACGCUGGGCAGGUGACGUUAUCGCCCCGCCGGUCGCCGCCCGAGCCCAGCGUCGGUGCGAGGCAAGGCCCCUGGGAGCCCACGAGGCGGAGGCGGAGCACCGGGGGAGCCUCGCCGGACGAAACCCCGGCGAAUAAAGUAUCGGCUAGCGCGCUGAGGGACAUGAUGGCGCCGAAGAGGGAGGGGUCCGAGAAGGAGGAGACAAUGCACCGGGCGCGCGUGCUCGCCACGCGGCUGCUGCAGUGGCGGUUCGCCAACGCUCGGAUGGAGAAGGCCGUCGCCCGCGCCACCUCCGCAGCCGAGAACAAGCUGUUCUACACGUGGCUGCGCGUGGCGGAGCUGCGCAACAUCCAUGCGGCGAAGCGGAUCGUGGCGCAGCGGCGGCGGCAGAAGCUGAAGCUGGAAAGGCUGCUGCGGCCGCAGCUCCCCCUCCUCGCAUCAUGGGAGUCCCUCGACAAGCCCCACGCAGACGCUGUCUCCGACCUCGCCGGCGCCCUCUCCGCCGCCUGCACACCCCUCCCCAUAACCGCCGGCGCCCAAGUCGAUAUGGAGUCGCUCCGCGAGAUCAUGUUCGCCUGCGUGGGCACGGUGACCGAGAUCGAAGCCAACGCCGACACGUUCUACGCCACGGCCGGCGCGACGAGCGGCGCGCUAGGCGAGCUUGCAAGGACGAUACGGCAGGAGGUGGAAGGGCUGGAGGAAGCCAUGCGGCUGUCCAGGGUCGUCACUCGCUUGCAGAUGCAGGAGGCGAGCCUUCGAACGAACUUAGUUCAGGCGAAGCAGAAGCGUGAUCACGACAUGGGAGUCGCCUUCGUCGCUCCGGCGACUGCAGCUUCCGGGUGGUGCUAUUGA